GUGGGGAAUAUUGGACAAUGGGCGAAAGCCUGAUCCAGCCAUGCCGCGUGUGUGAAGAAGGUCUUCGGAUUGUAAAGCACUUUAAGUUGGGAGGAAGGGCAGUAAGUUAAUACCUUGCUGUUUUGACGUUACCGACAGAAUAAGCACCGGCUAACUUCGUGCCAGCAGCCGCGGUAAUACGAAGGGUGCAAGCGUUAAUCGGAAUUACUGGGCGUAAAGCGCGCGUAGGUGGUUUUGUAAGUUGGAGGUGAAAUCCCCGGGCUCAACCUGGGAACUGCCUCCAAAACUGCAUGACUAGAGUACGGUAGAGGAUAGUGGAAUUUCCUGUGUAGCGGUGAAAUGCGUAGAUAUAGGAAGGAACACCAGUGGCGAAGGCGACUACCUGGACUGAUACUGACACUGAGGUGCGAAAGCGUGGGGAGCAAACAGGAUUAGAUACCCGUGUAGUCC
rnacentral:rRNA from 1 species